rnacentral:ncRNA from 1 species
GAGCGGUAAUACUAAUGCAUAUGGUGGAUGCCUUGACACUAAAAAGCGAUGAAGGACGCAGCUAGCUGCGAUAAGCUUCGGGGAGGCGCUGAGCAACCUUUGAUCCGAAGAUUUCCGAAUGGGACAACCCAACCGUGCAAAGCACGGAAUAACCAAUAAUCAAGAAACAAGAUACAAACAAUACUCAAUAACCAAUAAAUCAAUAAUCAAACGACAAAAUGUUUGGUAAUUGAAUUUUGGAAUUUGAAAUUUGUUUGGUUAUUGUAUCUUGGUGUUUGGAGCUUCCGCGCUUUGCGUGGUUAGCGCUAUUUGAAUUCAUAGAAUAGCGCGGCGUACCCGGCGAACUGAAACAUCUUAGUAGCCGGAGGAACAGAAAUCAAUUAGAGAUUCCCCAAGUAGUGGCGAGCGAACGGGGAACAGCCUCCAGUCUUUAGCGAAUUCGUCAGUCAAACGUCUCUGGAAAGAGCGGCCAAAGAGGGUGAAAGCCCCGUAGAUGAAAACGAAUUCGUGGAACCAAGUCUGGGACAAGUAGGGCGGGACCGGAGAAAUCCCGUUUGAAGAUGGGAGCACUAUCUUCCAAGGCUAAAUAUUUUUAGUGAUCGAUAGCGAACUAGUACCGUGAGGGAAAGGUGAAAAGUAUCCCGAUGAGGGAGAUGAAAGAGUAUCUGAAACCAUAUGCUAACAAAGAGUAGGAGCCGUGCAAAGCACGGAAUAACCAAUAAUCAAGAAACAAGAUACAAACAAUACUCAAUAACCAAUAAAUCAAUAAUCAAACGACAAAAUGUUUGGUAAUUGAAUUUUGGAAUUUGAAAUUUGUUUGGUUAUUGUAUCUUGGUGUUUGGAGCUUCCGCGCUUUGCGUGGUUAGCGCUAUUUGAAUUCAUAGAAUAGCGCGGCGUACCCGGCGAACUGAAACAUCUUAGUAGCCGGAGGAACAGAAAUCAAUUAGAGAUUCCCCAAGUAGUGGCGAGCGAACGGGGAACAGCCUCCAGUCUUUAGCGAAUUCGUCAGUCAAACGUCUCUGGAAAGAGCGGCCAAAGAGGGUGAAAGCCCCGUAGAUGAAAACGAAUUCGUGGAACCAAGUCUGGGACAAGUAGGGCGGGACCGGAGAAAUCCCGUUUGAAGAUGGGAGCACUAUCUUCCAAGGCUAAAUAUUUUUAGUGAUCGAUAGCGAACUAGUACCGUGAGGGAAAGGUGAAAAGUAUCCCGAUGAGGGAGAUGAAAGAGUAUCUGAAACCAUAUGCUAACAAAGAGUAGGAGCCGUGCAAAGCACGGAAUAACCAAUAAAUCAAUAAUCAAACGACAAAAUGUUUGGUAAUUGAAUUUUGGAAUUUGAAAUUUGUUUGGUUAUUGUAUCUUGGUGUUUGGAGCUUCCGCGCUUUGCGUGGUGACUGCGUGCUUUUUGUAGAACGAUCCAGCGAGUUAAUUCUAUGUCGUCGGAUAAGCAACUUUAUGUUGUGGAUCCAUAGUGAAAGCGAGCCUGAAAGGGCGACCGUUCGCGUCUCACUGUGUUCGACACUCACGGAUUAGCGAAUGAGGAUACAAAUGAAAACGAAUGAUUACAAAUAAUUUGUAAAAUAUUCGUCAAAAUUCGUAACUUCAUUCGCUAACCCGCGAAGCAGUCGAGCGUAGCGAGACGCGAGCGAGAUGGCAUGGAUUAGACCCGAAGCCAGGUGAGCUAUUUAUGAGCAGGGUGAAUUUGCCGUAACAGGCAAAGGAGGCCCGAACCCACCAGCCGUGCAACACUGGGGGAUGACUUGUGAAUAGAGGAGAAAUUCCAAUCGAACUUGGCGAUAGCUGGUUCUUCCCGAAAUAGCUUGAGGGCUAGCGUCGGGUAACUAUGUUUCGGAGGUAGAGCUACUGAAUGAGAAUUCGCGGUUCGCCGUAGGAUUCUCAACCAAACUCCGAAUUCCGAAACAAUUACCCCGACAGUCAGAAAUCCGGCGCUAAGGUCGGAUCUCAAAAGGGAAACAGCCCAGACCGCCGUCUAAGGUCCCUAAAUUUAUGUUAAGUGGGAAAGGAAGUGAAGUUUCUUAUACAUCUAGGAGGUUGGCUCAGAAGCAGCCAUCCUUUAAAGAGUGCGUAACAGCUCACUAGCCUAGAGACUUCGCGCCGAAAAUGUAACGGGGCUCAAACAUAAUACCGAANNNNNNNNNNNNNNNNNNNNNNNNNNNNNNNNNNNNNNNNNNNNNNNNNNNNNNNNNNNNNNNNNNNNNNNNNNNNNAUAUUCGUCAAAAUUCGUAACUUCAUCCGCUAACCCGCGAAGCAGUCGAGCGAAGCGAGACGCGAGCGGCGGUAGGGAAGCGUUCCAUACGCACUGAAGCGGAAGGCGUGAGCCACCGUGGAGUGUAUGGAAGUGAGAAUGCUGGAACAAGUAACCGCAAUUGGGGUGAGAACCCCCGACACCGAAAGUCUAAGGUUUCCUGGGCAAUGUCGAUCAACCCAGGGUUAGCCGGGCCUAAGGCGAGGCCGAAAGGCGUAGUCGAUGGACAUAUGGUUAAUAUUCCAUAGCUUUCUUAUGAUUCGAUGGAGUGACGCAUCCUAGUAACUCUUGCCGAUUAUUGGAUUUCGGUAAGGGCGCUGAGGAAGCCGGACAGGCAAAUCCGUCCGGCAAUAUUCCAAGGCGCUUUUGGAAUUCCGACGCAAGUCGGGAGAACGGGAGCGAGCAGGGUGCCAGGAAAAACUUCUAAGGUUCGUCAUAAGAAAACCGUACUAAAACCGACACAGGUAGACUGGGCGAGUAGCCUAAGGUGAACGAGUGAACCUUCGUUAAGGAACUCGGCAAAACAGCGUCCGUAAGUUCGCAAUAUGGACCGCCUGUCGUUCGUGUCUCAUUUCAUUCGACACUCACGGAUUAGCGAAUGAGGAUACAAAUGAAAACGAAUGA